rnacentral:rRNA from 1 species
CCCUUAGAUGUUCUGGGCCGCACGCGCGCUACACUGAUGCAUUCAACGAGUUUCUUCCUGGUCCGAGAGGAAUGGGUAACCUUUUGAAAGUGCAUCGUGAUAGGGAUAGACUAUUGCAAUUAUUGGUCUUCAACGAGGAAUUCCUAGUAGACGUAGUUCAUCAGACUGCAUCGAUUACGUCCCUGCCCUUUGUACACACCGCCCGUCGCUCCUACCGAUUGAAUGCUCAGGUGAGCCAUUCGGACUUUCAUCAUGCUGGUUUCCAGUUUUGGUGAAGGAAAGUCUUGCGAACCUUAUCAUUUAGAGGAAGGAGAAGUCGUAACA